rnacentral:rRNA from 1 species
GACGAACGCUGGCGGCGUGCCUAAUACAUGCAAGUAGGACGCAGUUGCGAACGGGUGAGUAACACGUAGGUACCUGCCUAUUAGAGGGGGAUAACUAUUGGAAACGAUAGCUAAUACCGCAUACUCGUAGAUGGACCUGCGUUGUAUUAGCUAGUAGGUAGGGUAAUGGCCUACCUAGGCGACGAUACAUAGCCGACUUGGGAGGGUGAUCGGCCAAACUGGGACUGGGACACGGCCCAGACUCCGACGGGAGGCAGCAGGAGGGAAUCUUCGGCAAUGGGGGGAACACUGACCAAGCAACGCCGCGGGAGUGAAGAAGGUUUUCGGAUCGUAAAGCUCUGUUGUUAAGGAAGCGGUACUUAACCAGAAAGGGACGGCUAACUACGUGCCAGCAGCCGCGGUAAUAC